UGGUGCACCAGUUGUCGUGCCAACGGCAUAGCUGGGUAGCUACGUAUGGACGAGAUAAACGCUGAAAGCAUCUAAGCGUGAAACUCCCCCUAAGAUAAGUUCUCCCAUCCUUUAAGGAGUAAGGGUCGAUGUAGACUACAUCGUUGAUAGGUCGGAGGUGUACGCACGGUAACGUGUUCAGCUGACCGAUACUAAUAACCCGAGGGCUUGACCUG
rfam:Sporobacter termitidis DSM 10068 genome assembly, contig: EK05DRAFT_scaffold00011.11